CCCAGUUGUUGGAACAAGUUUGGAACAAGCUAUUAACAACUUGUAACAAGCUUAAUGGCAUUAUUAGACUUGUCACAAGGUUGCUCUAACACGUUUGAGACAAUCAUUAUGUAACAAGAAUGUUACAAGGUUGGCGACACAAGAUUGUAACAAUAUUGUUAUAUCAUGACUGUAUCGGACUUGUUGGAACAACCUUGCAACAAGUCUGAUAAUAUAAAGUUUGUUCGUUCACUGCAACCAGGUAUAUCAAUCAUGUUUCGCUCGCUACUCUAGUUUAAAUAAAUUAUUACA